rnacentral:lncRNA from 1 species
UAAAACCCAAGAAAAUUGCAUGAUCUAGCGUUAUCUCCAUACGUUUGGGUAGCUAGGAUUGGAUCUCUCUAUUUCUUUAUGCAAUUGACAAUUGUUUUGAUGCCUAUGGCCCAAGGACGUUCCUUGGCAAUUUUUUAAUUAGUAAUUAAUUAGAGGACGUUCCCUAAUUAAUUUAAUCAUAAGGAGAGACAUGGUGGUGAGAAGCGUCUUCCAGCCCCAUAACUAAUCUAUUGAACCAAUCAAGAUAAUUUAAGUUUCAAUGAUCAACCCAAACAACCAAAGUGGAUCCAUAUCUUCAACUAGGCUUUUCUCAUAUUGAUUUACCCUUUUAUUUUAAUUAUUUGCUUUCUAUUAUUACUCUCAUUAUUAGUUACUACAAUCAAUCUCAAAUCCCCC